rnacentral:rRNA from 1 species
UUGAAUGGCCGCGGUAUUUUGACCGUGCUAAGGUAGCAUAAUCAUUAGUUUUUUAAUUGAAAGCUGGAAUGAAGGGCUGAAUGAAAAAAAGACUGUCUCUUUUAAAUUAUUUUAAAAUUUUAUUUUUAAGUUAAAAAGCUUAAAUUAUAUUAAAAGACGAGAAGACCCUAUAGAGUUUUAUAUUUUUAAUUCUAUAAAAAUUUUAGUAUUAAAUUUUUUAUUUUUUAAAAUUAUUUAAUUGGGGUGAUUAAAAAAUUAUAUUAACUUUUUUUAUAUUUUUAUAUUAAUUAAUAAAUAAUUGAUCCAAAAAUUUUGAUUAUAAGAUUAAAUUACCUUAGGGAUAACAGCGUAAUUUUAUUAGAGAGUU